AAAAUGCUUUGAGUUGAAGCGCAACAUCCGCCCGUUGCCAUCAUGAAGACAGGCUGCGGGGUCGACGUCUGACAACACGCUCUCUAACGUACGCCGGGCCCUCAUUGGAUGGGAUAACCACCUGUGGCGUCAGGUGACCUCGAUUGAUCGCAGGGGGCGGAGCCUGGUGUCAACUCCGUGGAGAACACAGAGGGGACUACAACGUCUCCCUAAAGAACUACAACCCCCACAGAGAGUAUCACAGAGAAGGUGACCACAACCCCCUGAUCUCAACCCUCCUCUACUUCAGGACUACAACGUCUCCCUAAAGAACUACAACCCCCACAGAGAGUAUCACAGAGAAGGUGACCACAACCCCUGAUCCUAACCCUCCUCUGCUUCAGGACUACAACGUCUCCCUAAAGAACUACAACCCCCACAGAGAGUAUCACAGAGAAGGUGACCACCAUCACUAUGGACGUCACAACCCCAUGAUCUCAACCCUCCUCUGCUUCAGGACUACAACGUCUCCCUAAAGAACUACAACCCCCACAGAGAGUAUCACAGAGAAGGUGACCACCAUCACUAUGGACGUCACAACCCCAUGAUCUCAACCCUCCUCUGCUUCAGGACUACAACGUCUCCCUAAAGAACUACAACCCCCACAGAGAGUAUCACAGAGAAGGUGACCACCAUCACUAUGGACGUCAC